rnacentral:rRNA from 1 species
GACGAACGCUGGCGGCGUGCUUAACACAUGCAAGUCGAACGGAAAGGCCCUGCUUGCAGGGUGCUCGAGUGGCGAACGGGUGAGUAACACGUGGGUGAUCUGCCCCUUACUUUGGGAUAAGCCUGGGAAACUGGGUCUAAUACUGGAUAGGACCAUGCUGUAGGUGGUGUGGUGGAAAGAUUUUUUCGGUAAGGGAUGAGCUCGCGGCCUAUCAGCUUGUUGGUGGGGUAAUGGCCUACCAAGGCGUCGACGGGUAGCCGGCCUGAGAGGGUGGACGGCCACAUUGGGACUGAGAUACGGCCCAGACUCCUACGGGAGGCAGCAGUGGGGAAUAUUGCACAAUGGGCGCAAGCCUGAUGCAGCGACGCCGCGUGGGGGAUGACGGCCUUCGGGUUGUAAACUCCUUUCAGCCAUGACGAAGCCUCUUUUGGGGUGACGGUAGUGGUAGAAGAAGCACCGGCUAACUACGUGCCAGCAGCCGCGGUAAUACGUAGGGUGCGAGCGUUGUCCGGAAUUACUGGGCGUAAAGAGCUCGUAGGUGGUCUGUCGCGUCAUUUGUGAAAGCCCGGGGCUUAACUCCGGGUUGGCAGGUGAUACGGGCAUGACUGGAGUACUGUAGGGGAGACUGGAAUUCCUGGUGUAGCGGUGAAAUGCGCAGAUAUCAGGAGGAACACCGGUGGCGAAGGCGGGUCUCUGGGCAGUAACUGACGCUGAGGAGCGAAAGCAUGGGUAGCGAACAGG